UACGUAGGGGCUAGCGUUAUCCGGAAUUACUGGGCGUAAAGGGUGCGUAGGUGGUUUCUUAAGUCAGAGGUGAAAGGCUACGGCUCAACCGUAGUAAGCCUUUGAAACUGGGAAACUUGAGUGCAGGAGAGGAGAGUGGAAUUCCUAGUGUAGCGGUGAAAUGCGUAGAUAUUACAUAGAACACCAAUUGCGAAGGCAGGUAACUAAGAUUUAACUGACGCUGAUGGACGAAAGCGUGGGGAGCGAACAGGAUUAGAUACCCUGGUAGUCCCUGAGCGGG
rnacentral:rRNA from 1 species